rnacentral:lncRNA from 1 species
UACAAUCACAUUCCAAGGAACAAUAAUUGGAGACGAAAAUGCUCCUAUAGUUGCUGCAUUUUCCUCAAGAGGACCAAGUAGAGCUAGUCCUGGCAUCUUGAAACCUGACAUAAUCGGUCCUGGUGUUAAUAUUCUUGCUGCUUGGCCUACCUCCGUGGAUGACAACAAAAAUACCAAAUCUACAUUCAAUAUUAUAUCAGGCACCUCGAUGUCUUGCCCUCACCUUAGUGGCGUAGCAGCUCUGCUGAAGAGCACACAUCCUGAUUGGUCUCCUGCUGCUAUUAAGUCUGCAAUCAUGACAACUGCUGACACGUUAAACCUUGCCAGUAGUCCAAUACUAGACGAAAAGCUCCUUCAUGCUGACAUUUUCGCAAUUGGUGCAGGACAUGUUAAUCCAUCAAGGGCAAAUGAUCCAGGGCUAGUUUAUGAUACCCCAUUCGAGGACUAUCUACCUUAUUUAUGUGGUUUGAACUAUACAAAUCGACAGGUAGGUAACCUGUUACAACGCAGGGUGAAUUGCUCGGAGGUGAAAAGUAUCCCUGAAGCACAAUUAAACUAUCCUUCAUUUUCUGUAUCCGAACUUGGAUCAACUCCUCAGACAUAUACCAGAACUGUGACCAACGUUGGUGAUGCUACAUCAUCUUACAAAGUGGAGGUAGCUUCACCAAAAGGCGUUGUCGUGGAAGUUGAACCCUCCGAGCUAAAUUUCUCCGAGUUGAACCAGAAGUUAACAUACCAAGUAACAUUUUCCAAGACAACUAGCAGCUCAAACAUUGAGGUUGCUGAGGGUUUCUUGAAGUGGACUUCUAAUAGGCACUCAGUGAGAAGUCCAAUUGCAGUUGUGUUAGCCUAGUGAAAAAUUGGCUUUAUGAGUGCAUAAAGUACUCAAUGCAUUUUAUUAUACUGAAAAUGCUGCUUGUUUUCGCUAUAUACUUUAUGUUAUUGUUAUAUAGUACUCCCUCCGUUUCACAAAGAAUGACCUGGUUUGACUUGGCACGGAGUUUAAGUAAAUAAAGAAGACUUUUGAAUCUUGUGGUCCUAAAUUAAAGUUAUGUCAAAUGUACAAAAUUGCCCUUAAUCUUGUGGUCUUAAACAUGCCACGUGGAAAGCAAAAAGUAAAAUGUUACCAAAAAAGGAAAGAGGUCAUUCUUUUUGAAACUGACUAAAAAGGAAGGGAGGUCAUUCUUUGUGAACCGGAGGGAGUAUUUUUUAAAAAAAGAAUGACCUCUUUCCUUUUUUGGUAACAUUUUACUUUUUGCUUUCCACGUGGCAUGUUUAAGACCACAAGAUUAAGGGCAAUUUUGUACAUUUGACAUAACUUUAAUUUAGGACCACAAGAUUCAAAAGUCUUCUUUAUUUACUUAAACUCCGUGCCAAGUCAAACGAGGUCAUUCUUUGUGAAACGGAGGGAGUAGUAAUUAAGAUACUUAGUUUUUUACCCUUAUUUUUCUUUAAAUAUUACUUGAGUGAGCAUGUGAGAAUUUCGGUUCAUACUCAAAUUUGGAAAAUUAGUUGUCGCCUACCUAAUAACGCACCCUUUGAUCCAGAAGGGAAGGCAUGAUUCUUUUUCAAGUUAGAAGAUCUUUCGGAACACAAUGGGGAAUUACGGAGACGAGUUCUACAGAUGAUUUUGCUCGAGAAGAUUAAGAAACGGAGAAAACAUUAACGAUAUAUACUUUUUGACCAAACUAUUUAUAUUCAAUUUCGCAUAGUUCAGACCGAAAAUAUUAUUAUUGCUAAAAAGAAAGUCUAAGUCUUUGCUUCUCUGGUGACUUCAAAAAAGUAAUUGGGUGCUAAACUUAUUAGUAUGACAAGAAAAAUAAUAGGGACAUUCCUAUGAGUUUUCUUGAAAAAACUUUAUAAUUAUUUCAUUUGGACACUUUUAUGUAUAUGUAAUACUCUUUUCCUCGCAAAAUCUCUUUCUAUCAAAAAUUCAAAAUAAAAUAAAAAUUGGUUUUCAUGUUUGCUAGUCAAAAUGUUUUUGGAAAGUAUUUUCUCCAAGAUAACAAGUUUCGAAAAAUGACUUUCCAAAUAGAAGUAGGAAAAAAUAAGUUUCAUAAAUAAAAUUUUAAGUUCAUUAUCUCCUUCUAUCCAGCAACGCCCCCAACCCUUGAUCAUUCCACCACCCUGCCAUCCCAACUCGUAUAUUAUUUUUCAUGAAAAAUAUUUUCUUCGUUCCAAACACACUCUGUAUCAAAAUAUCCCUUCACUUUAUAUGUAUUUUCUAUCACUUCAAUUAUUAAUGGAGGAUUUCAUUUCCAUGGGCAGAAAUGUAUGAUUUUUGAGUAUUUCACUUCCAAACUUUGAUUGUUUAAAUUCUGUUGAAUUCGAGGCAUAUAUGACUUUAACCCAUAAUUUCCACCUCAAAUUAUAAAAAACUAAUUACUUUUCUUAUAUAUGAAUAGCGGUCAUAAUUAGUUUUGGUGAGCGAUCAAAUGUGUAACGUUUCUAUAUAAUUUAAUUGUAUAAUUUAACCUUCAAAUAUACUGGUGUUUAAUUUUGUCCUUCAAAUGCUCUAGUCUUUAAUUUUUAUAAAAAAAAAGUGCACAACUUAUAAAAUAUUAUGAUAUAAGAAUAUAAAUUUAUAUCCAUGUAAAAAAUUAUUUAUCUUAAAAGACAAAAAUUAUAAACGAACACAAAAUAAAGACAAAAACGCAAAGGACCCCCUCCCUUACAGGUAUCCACUUGGCUGGAUCAGUAUGAUUAUUACAGUCUGGGUCAGCCUGGUAAUAACCCGGACCGACCCAAUUAUAUGAGUUGGGAUGGAAUUGGAGAAGGAGUUGUGCCAAACGAAGUAAAGAAAAGAACUUUUAAAUUUCUAAUUCUGGCUCCGCAUAUGCAACGAGUGAGACGGACUUGUUCAUCACACUUUUGACGUGGUCUUUUCUUUUCCUUUAUAUUUUAUGGAAAUAAUGAAAUCAACUACUCUAUUAUUUGUGUAAAACAAUUCUACAUACUUUUUCUUUCAAUCAUGACUUCUUUUUUUUCCACACGAUAACAAAGUUUCAUCGUGAGUUUUAACGUGUAAUGGACAGCACAUUUUAACAACCGGGGCGGAAUCACAUAAGAGCAAAGGGAUUUUUUUAGUGAAAAAUUAAUAUUAUAUAUAUAAGGUUAAAAUUAAAUUUUACGUUGAAUUUUCUCAACUUUUUUUUUUUUUUUUUUGUGUAUUUUUAGUUCAUUAUAUAUAUAUUUGUAGGUGAAAAUCAUGACCUUGUCACUAUUGACAACCCCUUCCCUUUCUAUAGAUACUUAAAUUAUGUUGAUUCUAAUUUGCGAGCGGGGAGGAAAAAGAAAUUAAGUUAACGUGGAUAGUCUUACAAGGACAAAACAAUAUAUGUGAAUCUGAAAUUAAUCAGAUUACUAGAUAAUAAAUACUUAAUGGUGAAACUUUUUUUUUAAAAAAAAAACUAAAAACAUAUAGUUGCUUGAUUGAGAUAAAUUAGUGGAUUACCGAAGGUGGUGGAGCCACCUUGUUAGUGACACUCCUUUGUGGGAAAAUUAGACGGGUGGUAGAUAGAUGGGUUUAAUAUAAUAUGUGUGGGGAAUUUUCUCGAUUUUUUUAUAAUUUGAUUAUUCUUAAUGAAAAUUCAUGUUUUGCUACUGAUCACCAAAGCCAAAAUAUAUAUAAAGAGGAAGGUUAACAAUAUAUAUAUUUUUUAGGGAUAAGGGUCUGAAAAAUACCUCAACUUUGGUCGGAUUUGCUGUUGCGAUACUAAACUUUCAUGAGGACCUAUUACCUCCCUAGGCUAUUUAAUACCGUAUUUUAAAAAUAUAUAUUUGCCCACGUGGACAUAAAAAAUAAUGCAAAAUUAUAAAUAGUAAUGUGUCAAUGUGGGCACAUAUAUACCUUUAAAAUACACUAUUAAAUAGUUCAGGAGGUAAAAAUACGGUAUUAAAUAGUCUAGGGAGGUAAUAGGUCUUUAUGAAAGUUUAGUAUCGCAACAGCAAAUCCGACCAAAGUUGGGGUAUUUUUCAGACACUUAUCCCUAUUUUUUAUCUCUAAGUUAAUAUUGUUAAAUUCUAAUUUUAGUCCUUAUAUCUGAUUAAGUACAUUUAAUCUUCAAUCAAUUGAAUUGUGCACCUUUAAUUCCUUUAUUUGUGAUUAUUCAAAAAUUUACCAUGAUUAUUCAAAAAUUUCCACCACUUAAUUAUCAAUAUGUUAAACUGGUACUAAUAUAGUUCUAAAAUAUUCCAACCAUAACAUAAGUAUUUCUUACAAAAGGGACCAAAAACAUACAUCUCAAGUAACUAGACAUUAAAUAUGUUUUUAUUGAAUAUUAUCCUAAAAUGAAAGUCUAAAGAGUCUGUUUGGAUCUGUUUAAAAGUUGAUCAAACCUACUUUUAGGUUAUUUUUAGCUUUUGAAAGUAUUUGACAAAAUUAAAAAUUACUGAAAAUAAGUUUAAAAUGAAUUAAAAGUUAAAAACCUCUACUUUUCAUUUUUUAACUUAAAAGUUACUAAAGUUUGACUUUUUAAAAACUACUUUUAAAAAACUAUUUUUUUAAGUUAAGCCAAACGGUUCAAAAAGUAAUUGGGACAUUGAGUCGUUGAUGCUUAACAUAUUAAUAGGGCAAGAAAAACAAUAAUCCUAUGAGUUUCCUCGAAAAUACGUUGUAAUUAAUUCACGUGGACACUUUUUAUUUUUUAACAUUUUGUGGUCAAGCGAGAAAUCUAUAAUGAAUUCUAAAUUUAAUAUUUAUAUAUAUUUGAUAAUUUUUUCAACAUAAAAUAUAUUAUUUGAGCAAAAUCUACUGAAUUCGGUCGAACCCGCGUGCGACUUACUAGCUUUAUCAUUCACGACAUGCCAACUAUACAUGUCAAAUGUCCACGCAAGUCCAAUCUCCACAAUUGAAGGAGAUCAUCAUCCAUGUAACACGUUUCGUCUUGCAAAGAAAUUAAAUUAACCAAACUUUAGUUUUGUUAUUAUUUUUUAAAUCUCGAUCAAUUCAAAUCUCCUCUGAACACCCUAAAUUUUAGAUAUGAGCUCAUCUCGAUAUUUCAAAGCUAUUGAUAUAUUAUUCAUUUAAAAUGAUUCACGUUUGCGAUAUGACACACUUUAAAAUUUGAGUUCCGAAGCUUUUAUCUAUUUGAGUGAUUGGAUGGAUGAAGGAUCUUGAAUAGCUGCAUGUUUUUGAGAACAUGCAUUGCAACUUCAUUUAGACAGAAUAUUUGCAGCUUUUUAUUACAAAGUGAUUUAACAGUUAAAAAUUUGUAUUGUAUGUAGAAAGAUGUUCAUUGUAUCCAAAUAUAAUUAAGCAAAUUUACAGUGGAAAGUUUUGGAAAUUCUACAAAUUCAUAGAAUAAAGUUCAAUUUAACUAGUCUCAUUCACAGUUAGCGUGUGUUUGGUAUGAAAUGAAAAUGUUUUCCUGGAAAUAAGUAGAUUUUUUACUUAUUUUCUCAUGUUUGAUUGGUGAGUAGAAAAUAUUUUCUAAAAAAGAUUUUUAGUGUUUGAUUUAUGAAUGAAUUUUUUUUUUGAGAAAUAUCUUUUAUUUUUACUAGAAUAGAAACUAUUUUAAAAAAAUAAACUUAAAUUUUUUUUUGGGGGGUGGGGGGGUCGAGGGUAGGUGGGGGUAGGGCUGAGGGUGGGGUAAAAAAAUUGAAGUUAAAAACAUUUUAAAAAAACAAGCUUUAAAUAUUUUUUUAUGGGGGCUGGUUUGAGGGUAGGAACAACAUAAAUUGAUUCUUUCAACAAAAAAAUAAAUUGUCAUUUGAAGUUGAAAGAAAGUUUUGGAAAAUGUUUUGCUUAAGUUUUGAAGAAAAGUCAUUUUCCUUAAAUUUGAGGUAAAUGAGUUGAUUUGGAAAACAUUUUCCAAAACAUUUAACCCCACCAAACAUGAAAAAAUUGGCUCCUUCCUACCAAACACACCCUUGGUGUCCUUUCUUUUCUUAUCUUUUAUUACUUUUAAUUAUCUUGUCCACAUUAUUCUUUUUUUCCUACUAGCUAAAUAAAGUCAUGAACAAAGAAGCACUAUAAAUAGACAGUCGUUUCAAAGCAGAAAAAUUCAUCAGAUACACUUUCCAAAUACAUCAUCAGUUCUUGUAUUUGCUGCCAUGGGAUUCUUGAAAAUCCUUCUUGUUUUCAUCUUCUGUUCUUUCCCAUGGCCUACUAUUCAGAGUGAUCUAGAGAUUUAUAUAGUCCAUGUUGAAUCCCCUGAAAGCCUAAUUACUACUCAAUCAUCGUUAACGGAUUUAGAUAGCUAUUACCUUUCUUUUUUGCCUAAAACUACUACCGCAAUUAGCUCGAGUGGAAAUGAAGAGGCUGCUAGCAUGAUCUAUUCCUAUCACAAUGUGAUGAAAGGCUUUGCAGCAAGAUUAACUUCAGAACAAGUGAAGGAAAUGGAGAAGAAACAUGGCUUUGUCUCUGCUCAGAAACAGAGGAUUUUGUCCUUGGAUACUACUCAUACUCCAAGUUUUCUUGGUUUGCAGCAGAACAUGGGUAUAUGGAAGGAUUCCAACUAUGGGAAAGGCGUGAUCAUCGGAGUUAUAGACACUGGAAUUAUUCCUGACCAUCCUUCUUUUAUCGAUGUUGGGAUGCCUCCCCCGCCUGCUAAGUGGAAGGGAGUUUGCGAGUCCAAUUUCAUCAACAAGUGUAGCAACAAGCUCAUUGGAGCCAGAUCUUACCAACUUGGCAAUGGUUCCCCGAUAGAUGGUAUUGGACAUGGUACACACACAGCAAGCACAACUGCAGGAGCCUUUGUGAAAGGUGCUAAUGUAUAUGGCAAUGCAAAUGGCACUGCUGUUGGUGUUGCCCCUCUUGCUCACAUAGCCAUAUAUAAGGUGUGUAAUUCUGAUGGUUGUUCUGACUCUGAUAUUUUAGCUGCCAUGGAUUCAGCUAUAGAUGAUGGCGUAGAUAUUCUUUCAGUGUCCCUUGGUGGAAGAUCAGUUCCUUUCUAUGCUGACAGUAUUGCUAUCGGGGCAUACAGUGCAACGGAAAGAGGGAUUCUUGUAAGUUGCUCUGCUGGAAAUAGUGGUCCUUGGCAUGCCUCAGCAGGAAACACAGCCCCUUGGAUUCUUACAGUAGGUGCCAGCACGCUUGAUAGGAAGAUAAAAGCUACUAUUAAGCUUGGAAAUGGGGAGGAAUUUGAAGGGGAAUCUGCUUAUCGUCCAAAGAUUUCCAACUCGACAUUCUUCACUCUAUUUGAUGCUGCAAAAAAUGCAAAAGAUCAAUCUGAAACCCCUUAUUGCAGACCAGGGUCACUCACUGACCCUGCUAUAAGAGGAAAGAUAGUAUUAUGUUUAGCAUUCGGUGGUGUAGCCAAUGUUGAUAAAGGACAAGUUGUGAAGGAUGCUGGAGGUGUUGGCAUGAUUGUCAUCAAACCGUCACAAUAUGGUGUCACUAAAUCAGCUGAUGCUCAUGUUCUUCCAGCAUUGGAUGUUUCAGCUGCAGAUGGAUUAAGAAUUCGUGCUUAUACAAACUCAAUAUUAAACCCUGUUGCUACAAUCACAUUCCAAGGAACAAUAAUUGGAGAUAAAAAUGCUCCAAUAGUUGCUGGAUUUUCUUCUCGGGGACCAAGUAGAGCUAGUCCUGGAAUCUUGAAACCUGACAUAAUCGGUCCUGGUGUUAAUAUCCUUGCUGCUUGGCCUACCUCCGUGGAUGACAACAAGAACACCAAAUCCACAUUCAAUAUUAUAUCAGGCACCUCAAUGUCUUGCCCUCACCUUAGUGGCGUAGCAGCUCUGCUGAAGAGUGCACAUCCUGAUUGGUCUCCUGCUGUUAUUUAAGUCUGCAAUCAUGACAACCGCUGACACAUUAAGCCUUGCCAGUAGUCCAAUACUUGAUGAAAGGCUCCUUCCUGCUGAUAUCUAUGCAAUUGGUGCAGGACAUGUUAAUCCAUCGAGGGCAAAUGAUCCAGGACUAGUUUAUGAUACCCCAUUUGCGGAGUAUGUACCUUAUUUUUGUGGUUUAAGCUACGCCAAUCAAGAGAUAGGUAAAAUGUUACAACGUCAGGUGAAUUGUUUGAAGGUGAAAAGUAUCCCUGAAGCACAAUUAAACUAUCCUUCAUUUUCCAUAUUUGGACUUGGAUCAACUCCUCAGACAUAUACCAGAACUGUGACCAACGUUGGUGAUGCUACAUCAUCUUACAAAGUGGAGGUAGCUUCACCAAAAGGUGUUGUCGUGGAAGUUGAACCCACAGAGCUAAAUUUUUCCCGGUUGAACCAGAAGUUAACAUACCAAGUGACAUUUUCCAAGACAACCAACAGCUCAAACGAUAAUGUUGUCGAUGGAUUCUUGAAAUGGAGUUCUAAUAGGCACUCAGUGAGAAGUCCAAUUGCAGUUGUGUUAGCCGAGUGAAAAAUUGGCUUUAUAAGUGCAUAAAGUAUUCAUACAUUUGAUUAUGGUGAAAAUGUUGUUUGUUUUCGCUAUAUACUUUAGGUUACUUUUUCAUUAUUUUUUAAAAAAAAUAUUACUUGAGUGACCAUAUGUGGGAAUUUCGGUUCAUACUCAAAUUUGAAAAAUUAGUUGUCGUCUACGUAAUAACGCACCCUUUGAUCCAGAAACUUGACAGUGACAUUCUUAGCAUCCCGCAGGGAAAGCAUGAUUGUUUUUUUUCAGUUAGAAGUGUUGAAAUCUUUGGGAACACAAUGGGGAAUUACGGAGACGAGUUCUACAGAUGAUUUUGCUGGAGAAGAUUAAGAAACUAAAGAAAACAUUAAGUACGGAUACUUUUAGACCAAACUAUUUUAAUUCAAUUUCGCAUAAUUCAAAAGCAUUUUUACCCUUUUUCGAAAAUAUUGUUAUUGCUAAAAAGAAAGUCCAAGUCUUUUCCUCUCUGGUGACUUCAAAAAGUAAUUGGGACGUUCAUGCUAAACUUAUUAAUAUGACACGAAAAAUAAUAGGGACAUUCCUAUGAGUUUUCUUGAAAAGUCUUUAUAAUUAAUUUACAUGGACACUUUUAUGUAUAUUUUUCUAUUUCUAUUCUAUUCUAUUCUAUUUUCUACUUUCUAUUCUAUUCUACUUUCUAUUCUAUUCUAUUCUAUUCUACUAUAUUAUAAAAGAGAGUUAGGGCCAAGUAUAUAAUAUAUAAUAUUCAAGAUUGGGACUUUUCCCAAUCCUGAAUAUUAUAUAUUAUACUUGUGGGACUUUUAAAAUUAUAUUUUAUACCCAAGUAUAAUAUAUAAUAUUCAAGAUUGGGACUUUUCCCAAUCCUGAAUAUUAUAUAUUAUACUUGUGGGACUUUUAAAAUUAUAUUUUAUACCCAAGUAUAAUAUAUAAUAUUCAAGAUUGGGACUUUUCCCAAUCCUGAAUAUUAUAUAUUAUACUUGUGGGACUUUUAAUCACAAAUGGAAAAGUCUCAAUCAAGGAAGCAACAUAUAUCAUUUACAAAUGACUUAAAAAGCUUUAAAAUAUUUAAAGGCUAUAUAAUAAAAUAGGUUGACUCUCAGAAUUCUGUCAGUCUCACAUAUAUUGGGACAGAAGAAAUAACACAUAUCAUUUUAAUAUUACCAAAAAAGUAUUAUAAAUAAUAAUAAUUAACAACUUAAAAUAUCUGAAAGACAUUUUAAAAGGGUUAAUUUUGUAAUUUUAUCCAUAUCACAUAAAUUAGGACAAAGUGACCAGUAAUGUACGUUAUUUGAAAGUUACAUAAAAAUAUUAUAAAUCACAAUAAUUAAUAACUUCAAACAUUUAAAAAAAAUAUGGAAAUUUGGAUGACUCUCCAAAUUUCAUUUGUGUCACAUAAAUUGAGACAACAAAAAUAACAUAUAUUGGGUCCAUUUUAAUUUAUUUGUCUUAUUUUUUUUAUAUUUAAAAAUUGCGUAAAAAUACUAUAAAUCAUGAUAAUUGACAACAUAAAAUAUUUCAAAAAUGUUGUAUGUGGGUAGUCUUAUUAUGCCUUAAAUAGCGUCAAAGAAAGUACAAGUUUGUGAUAAAAAAACUUAUUCUUUUAUCCACACAAACAAUCGCUUCAAAAACUCGGUUAUUAGCCCCAAAAUAUACCAUUUAUAUUAUUGGGCCCGUGCGUAGCACGGGCAACAUUAUCUAGUAUAUAUAAUAUAAAAUACUCUUUUUCUUUGUAUAUAUGUGAAUAACGAUCGUAAUUAUUUUUGGUGAGCAAUGAAAAGUGAAACUUACCCUUUAUCAUUUAAUUGUAUAGUUUGACCUUCAAAUAGGUUGGCGUCUGAUCUAGCGGUACAUAAGUUCUUUAAGGAUGUAAUGCAUAAUUUAUAGAAUAUUAUGAUAAAAAUAUAAAUUUAUGCUUCAUAUAAAAUUUAUCUACUUUAAAGGUACGAAAUUAUAGAUCAAUACAAAAUAGGGAAAAAAGUGCAAAUGACCCCUUUCCAUUACAGGUAUCCAUAUGGCCAGAUCAGUUUAAUUACUACAGUUGGGUCAGCCCGGUAAAAAACGGAUCAACCAAAUUAUAUGGGUUGACUUGGAAUUGAAGAAUGAGUUGUGCCAAACGAAGGAAAGAAAAAGAAGAAUAAUCAAAUAAUAGGAUUUUGUCCUAAUUUUCUUAUCUUAUUUGAAGUUUAUUUUUUCCUAAAAGAAAAGACAAAACAUUACCAUAAAUGUUUUUUACUUUUCUGAAAGGAAAAUAUAAUUUUUUUCCAUAUUUGGUUUAUUCUUUCCUUAAAAAAAAAGUUUUGAGAUCUAUAAAUUGAAGAUCCAUAUUUUCAUAACAAAACAACAAUAGAAUUCACAAUGUAGUCGUUUAGAUACUUUUGUUUAUGAGGAGAUUUUUUCCUAAACAUAUUUAUGUUUUUUCAAUAUUAGUGUUAUAAUAUGUAGGUCGCUUGACCAAACUAUAUCAAUAAUAUGUUUUUAUUAUAGUUUUAUUUGUCGUCUGAUUUAUCAACAUAUGAUUUGCAAUUGUAAGCUUCUGCAUGAUGCCCUAAUCACUUUGGAACCCAACAUCAUCCAACUGUAUAAAAUAAAAAUAGCUGAUAUAAUAAAUGUAUAACUCAUGUCUAAUAUGUAUUUUCUCUGUCCUAGUUUAUAUUAUUCACUCAAUCUAAAAAAAUGACAUAAUUUUAUAUUUUUUAAUAAUUUAACUUUUAAAUAUUUAUCUACAAAUUUAGUUGAAGAAGGAUGCAUCUUCAACUUCAAAAUCGAUUGUGGAAAAACGCCCAAAAGGGGGGGGGGGGAGUCGAAUUGUUGGUGGCUCCAAUAAGGGCUUUGAGUCGGGAUUCAUGGGUGACACCAUUGUUGAAAGUGAGAAAAAGCUACGGGAGUUGAUACAGAGCAAAAGAGAAAGUGUAGAAAGAUUUCUUCAUCAUUUUUUUUUGUUUUCAGCAGAUCAGAUUGAUGACUUUUUUUCUGAUUUUUUGUUUUUCAUCUUUUUAUGAUAAAUAUGAGUUCACUUUUUUAAUGCAUAUAGUUGUUUUUAUUUCUUAAAUUAAUGUAUAAUGCAUUCGUUUCAACAUUAUGAUACAUUACAAUUUUAUCAAGAGUUGUUGGUGGCUCCGGUAAGGACUUUGAGUCGAGAUCCAUGGGUGACGCCAUUGUUGAAAAUGAGAAAAAAGCUACCAGAGUUCAUACAAAGCAAAGGAGAAUGUGUGGAAGGAUUUCUUCAUCAUUUUUUUUUUUUGCUAUUAGCAUAUCAAAUUGUUGAUUUAUUUUUUUGAUUUUUUGUUGCUUUCAUCGAAUCUUUUAAUGUAUCUAGUUGAUUUUGAUUCUUAAAUUAAUCUAUAAUUAAUUUGUUUCACCUUUAUGAUCCAUUACAAUUUUAUCGUGUACAAUAUAUCAUUUGCAAUUAUUAAUUCUGAUACAUAACCCUAAUUUAUUGAAACACAAAUUAGUAUGUAACAUGUUCAUAGUUAUGUAUUGGAUACACAAUUAUUAUGAAUUUCAUUAUCUUUCACUACCAAUACAUAUACCCAGCCUUAUUCAACUAGUAGAAGGCUAUUAUUCCUAAAAGGGAAAAGGGUCAAAUAUGCCCCUAAACUAUUCGAAAAGGUAUAGAUAUACCAUCCAUUUAAAGUUUGGCUCACUUGUGCCCUCGCCGUCCAACUUUUCGUCUAGAUAUGCCCUUAUGGGCGUUAAACGCCAAAUGGAAUUGUCACGUCAUUUUUACAUUACCACGUGGCAUUGAAAAAGGGUCAAAUAUAUCCCUAAACUAUUCUAAAAGGUCUAGAUAUACCCCCCUUUUAAAUAAACUACCCGACCCGUUUUUAACAAUUUUUUUUAAUNNNNNNNNNNNNNNNNNNNNNNNNNNNNNNNNNNNNNNNNNNNNNNNNNNNNNNNNNNNNNNNNNNNNNNNNNNNNNNNNNNNNNNNNNNNNNNNNNNNNNNNNNNNNNNNNNNNNNNNNNNNNNNNNNNNNNNNNNNNNNNNNNNNNNNNNNNNNNNNNNNNNNNNNNNNNNNNNNNNNNNNNNNNNNNNNNNNNNNNNNNNNNNNNNNNNNNNNNNNNNNNNNNNNNNNNNNNNNNNNNNNNNNNNNNNNNNNNNNNNNNNNNNNNNNNNNNNNNNNNNNNNNNNNNNNNNNNNNNNNNNNNNNNNNNNNNNNNNNNNNNNNNNNNNNNNNNNNNNNNNNNNNNNNNNNNNNNNNNNNNNNNNNNNNNNNNNNNNNNNNNNNNNNNNNNNNNNNNUUAUUUAAAAGGGGGGUAUAUCUAGACCUUUUCGAAUAGUUUAGGGGUAUAUUUGACCCUUUUUCAAUGCCACGUGGUAAUGUAAAAAUGAUGUGGCAAUUCCAUUUGGCGUUUAACGUCCAUAAGGGCAUAUCUAGACGAAAAGUUGGACGGCGAGGGCACGAGUGAGCCAAACUUUAAAUGAGGGGUAUAUCUAGACCUUUUCGAAUAGUUUAGGGGCAUAUUUGAUCAUUUUCCCUUCCUAAAAUGAAAGUCUAGAGUCUGUUUGGAUUGACUUUACAAUUGGUCAAAUCUACUUUUAAGUCAUUUAUUUUUUUGUUUUUGGGAGUGUUUGACAAAGUAGAAAAUAACUUAAAAUAAGUUAGAAAUGAGUUUAAAAAAUAAGUUAAAAGUUACUAAAGUUCGACUUUUAAAAAAAUACUUUUAAAAACUAUAUUUUUUAAUAGUUAAAGCCAUACGGGAAGGGUUUGGUGACUUCAGAAAGUAAUUAGGAUGUUGAGUCGUUGACGCUAAACUUAUUAAUAUGACAAGAAAAACAAUAGUCCUAUGAGUUUCCUGGAAAAUACAUUGUAAUUAAUUCACAUGGACACUUUUUAUUUUUUAACAUAUUGUGGCCAAAUGAGAAAUCUAUAGUUAGGAUUUUAAAUUGGAAUUUUUUUGCUUAUAACCACUCAAAAAUAACUUAAUUAUACUCCAUAACUAUAAUUUGAUAAUUACGAUUCGUAGCUAGAUAUUAGAGGGAGGAGAGACGCGAACGAGAUUGGAGAGGGAGGAGAGAGGGAGCAAGAGAUCAGAGGGAGGAGAGUGGAGAGAGGCGAAUUGUAUAUGUCUAUCUAUCGAAUUGUAUAUGUAUAUCUGUUAAACAAUUGUAUAGUUGUAACUGGUAUACACAUGUACUUGUAUAUCUGGCGAGCGAGAUUGGGAGAGGGGGAGAGAGACGAGCGAGAUUGGGAGAGAGGCAAGCGAUAGAGGGCAGAGAGUGGAGAGAGACUAACUGUAUAUGUAUAUCUGUCAGAUAAUUAUAUAUAUGCAACUGAUAUACAUAUGUAUUUGUAUAUCUGGCCAGCGAGAUUGGGAGAGGGAGGAGAACGGCAAGCGAGAGAGGGUAGAGAGUGGAGAGAGACUAAUUGUAUUUGUAUAACUGUAAUAUUAUUGUGUAUAUAUAUGUAUAAUCUAUAUUUGUAAAUGUAUAAGUGACAUAAUUACAGCUAAAAUUUAGCUGCAAACCGUAAUUUAUUCAAACUAUAACUAUGUUAGCUAAUUAACUAGUAUAUGCGGCCUAUCCGCAUAAUUUUCCUUUUAAAAAAUUUAAUAUUUAUACAUAUAUUUGAUUAAUUUAUUAAAAUGAAUAUACUAUUUGAACAAAAUCUACUAAAUUCAGUUGAUCCCACAUGUAGGUAGCUUUACCCUUCACGACAUGCCAACUAUACAUGUCAAAUGUCCACGCAAGUCCAAUCUCCACAAUUGAAGGAGAUCAUUAUCCAUGUAACAUGUUUCGUCUUGCAAAGAAAUUAAAUUAACCAACUUUAGUUUUGUUCUUAAUUUUUUCAAUUUCGAUCAACUCAAAUCUCCUCUGAACAUCAUAAAUUUUAGAUGUGAGCUCCUUUCGAUAUUUUAAGUAUAUUGAUAUAUUAUUUGUUCAAAAUGAUUCACGUUUGCGAUAUGACAAAUUUUAAAAUUUGAGUUUCGAAGCUAUUUAUAUAUUUGAGUACUUCGAUGGAUGAAGGAUCUUGAAUAGCUGCAUGUUUUUGAGAACAUGCCUUGCAGCUUCAUUUAGACAGAAUAUUUGCAACUUUUUAUUACAAAGUGAUUUAACAGUUAAAAAUUUGUAUUGUAUGUAGAAAGAAGUUCAUUGUAUCGAAAUAUAAUUAAGCAAAUUUACAGAGAUUGGUCUUUUGGAAAAUCUACAAAUCUAUCUAUAUAUUCUAUAUAUAAUAAGCCACAAUGUAACUAUCAUUAUAACUAUCUUGUUAGCUUUCAACCAAAAGCUAACAAGAUAGGAAUAGGAAUAGAAAUAGUAGUAACUAUCUUGUUAGCUUUCAACCAAAAGGAGUACUUCUUUUAAAUAAUAAAUAUGUCAUUGUAUGAGCUAUUUAUUACUCAUUCCUUUUGAAUUUGUUAAUCUGGUUUUGAUCUGAUACAUAGUUUAGGAAAGUAAAUUAGAUUUUGAGAAAAAACAUUAAGUGAUACUUGAAGUUGUCCCAGAUUUUCAAAAAGACACCUUAACUUUUCGUGCGUCCUAUUACCCCAUAAAACAUUCAAAAUCACAAUAGAUACACAUUUUUUACACAAUAUUUCUACUUCGGACAAAAAUAUCCUUCGAAUGUGCAAUUUCUUAAAAACAAAAAGUCGGACCCAUUAUUGAUGUAUUGAAGGAUGCUUUGGUAAUUUCCUAUGAUGAAUUAGUUUUGUUUGCUUCUUUUAAAUUUAUUUUACUAUACUAAAUAAUUGUAUAAAAUAUUAUGAAUCACGAUAAUUAAUUACUUAAUUAUUUUAAAAAGAUAUAAAAAAUAUAUAAAAAGAUCUGAUUGACUCUUCAAAUUUUACCGGUGACACAUAAAUUGGGACAAAUGAAAUAAUAUAUAUUAUUUGAAAAUUUCUUAGAAAGUACUAUACAGUAAUUAAAUUAACAGCUAGAAAUAUUUCAAAGACAAAAAAAAUUGAUUGAAUCUCAAAAAANNNNNNNNNNNNNNNNNNCCAUUAUUGAUGUAUUCAAGGAUGCUUUGGUAAUUUUCCUAUGAUGAAUUCGUUUUGUUUGUUGUUUAAUUUUUUUUAAAUAAUUGUAUAAAAUAUUAUAAAUCACAAUAAUUAUUUACUUAAAUAUUCAAAAGAUAUAAAAAUAUGUAAAAGAUCUGAUUAACUCUUCAAAUUUUAUCGGUGACACAUAAAUUGGACAAAUGAAAUAAUAUAUAUUAUUUGAAAAUUACUUAGAAAGUACAAUAAUUUACAGUAAUUAACAAUAGAAUAUUUUAAAGACAAAAAAAAUUGAUUGAAUCUCUAAAUUUUAUUAGUACCACAUAAAUUGAGAAAGAAGAAAUAACCUUUAUUAUUUCAAAAUUGCGUAAAAGAUAUUACAAAUCAUACAACAAUAAUUAGCAAUUUAGAAUGUUAAAAGACAUAAAAAUUUUUUUACCAUAGUUAACAAUAAUUAAAAAUUUAAACUAUUUUAAAUUAAUAUUAAAGUUUGAUUAACUCUUUAAUUUUGUCUUUGUCAUAUAAGUUGAAACAAAAAAUGAUACAUAUUGGGCCCGUGCUAGCACGGGCUCCAAUGUCUAGUAUAUAUAUACAUAUAUAUAUAAAUAAAGGAGGAACAUAGAGAAGGUGAUGUGACAUCUUUCUAUGCCUCCAUUCAUAUUUAUUUUUUUCCUCCUUUUUUUAGACUUUUUUUUCUCAUUUCUUUCAAUUAUUUUUUCUUGCAAAAUCAUCUUAAUUCAUACUUCUUUAAUUGCAUGAAUUAUAUUCUUAAUUAGUAUUAAUAAUAUUCAUAACUAUCAAAUCUUUCAUAUUUAUAACCUCCAAUUAUUUAAUGUACAAGUUUAUAACACUAUAAAAUCACACUAAAAUUUUGUUUAUUUUAGUCAUUGCCUCGGUUGAAGAAUUAGUGGGAGCCGGGAGGCAUGUUAGUGUAGUUUAAGCUUUAAGGUAAUUAUCUUUUGCAAUUAUAAUUUCAUAUAUUAUUUUUAAUUAGCAAGCUUAAUUUGUCAAAGUAUAUUUUCGCUUUCUUCUGAAUAAAUUAUUUGGUUUAUUAUCCUUAGGAUUCUCUUACUGUAACCACAAAAAUGAAGUUUCAUUUUAGGAUUAAUAGUUUAUUUUUUAUUUUCCUUGACUCUUACAUAUAGGUGUGAAAUUAGCCGAACGAAAAUUAAUGGAUUUUGAAUUAUUCAGGUUAGUUACCUCUAUUUUUUUAGGUGAUUAAGAAGUAAAGUUUUCAUUGUAUUAGGUUCUUUUUUUUUACUAUUUAUGUUUCAUAAAAAAUGAUUAUAUAUGUAGGAGGGCUUAUGAUUAAAUGCAGUUUUCUCCUUAUUCUUCAUCUUUUGCUUCUUUUGAUGGAUAAGUUUUUAAAACUUUUUUUUAUCAUAUUUUGCAGAUUAUAGGAGGAGCAUUUUGAUUAGAUAUCCUUAUAUAAUUCGAUUUUACAAGAUAAAAUAAUCUGAUAUGUUUAAUGUAAUUACAAUUCUUUCUUUGUUGAAAUCAUGCAUUUAAUAUUAUUUGUUUGUGCUCUUGAAGAUACCAAUUAUGAAUUAUUUUUUUAAAAAUCAUUUCAUUUUUCUCUUUGCUCCUCCAUGUAAAUCUUAGAGAGUUUGAUUAUACUAUAUUGAUAACACUUUUCAAAUUUUUUAUUUAUUUAGGUAAAUUUAUCUCUCUCUUUUGUUGAUAAGGUUAAUUUAUUGUGUUUAUUGGUUAGAAUAUUUUUAAAAAUAGAAGCAGAAAAGGAGUCAAUGGAUAUGGACAUGCUACUUAAGAAAGUAUGUACAUAUACUUCUAUAAUCUUGUGGAUCAAUUUUUAAUAACUACAAUGAUAGAAUAUGAGAAUGUAAAGUUAAUUAAUUUAUAAUUUUGAAGAUACAAUUGAUUUCUUUUAAAAAAAAUUAUUAAUAUGUAAAAUUGCCGUUCUCAAAAUUUUCAUUUUUUGUUAUUGUCAGAAGUUGUCAAGUUAUUUCAAAUUUUUAAGAUCAUUACUACAAAAUGUACUAUGUUGGAUCUGAACUCUUCAGAUUUACUUUUUGAAAAAUGCAAAAAGAUUAGGUUAGAAUAAAAAGAAUUUUGUAAAGUUGUUUGUGUCUCUUAAACUUUCUUUACCAAGAGAGUAAUUAUUAUUCCUCCCUGACCUUAAUUCAUCAUUUAUUUUCAAGGAAUAUAUUUUAGUGCCGGUAUUAAAUCUUUCUUUCUUGAUUAAAACAUGGAAUCAUGAUUUAACACAUGACAUUGUAGAUAUUAAAAAAAAAAAAUGCAAUGAUAAGAGGAAUUAGUCAAAAUAAAAAGUAAUUUUUAUAAUGUUUCAUAUGAUAAGUUAAAAAAAUAUGAUUAGUAAAAAGUGAAGUAGAAUGAAUUUAAUUAUUCAAGUAAGAAAACAAUUUUUGAAGUGGGUAAAUAUAAAAAAAGAAAAAGAAAUAAAUUAAUUAAUUUUUUCAUGACAUGAUUUUUGCUUCAUUUAUGAAUAAUAAGAAUUUUGUGAGCCAAAUAAUUUUAGAUUGAAGUAAUGAAACUUGUAUAUUUACACCUUUCAAAAGUUAAUUUUUUUUUUUAUCUUUUCCAAAAUCGUACCACACUUUUAAAUAUUAUUAUGUUCAUAUGUUAAAUUUUUAAAAUAUUAUUUUUAAAACUAACUGUAUUUAUGUUUUUAUCAAAUUUUUAACUUUUUUUUCUUAUAAACCCCUUGAAAUAUUACUGAAAAUUAAAAUCACUCCAACAAUAUAUUAUAACUCUCCACAUUUAUUGCUCAAUUUAAAUGGAAAGGCAUCUAAAAAUAUUAUCUCUUUAAAUUGCUUUUCUAUUUAAAUUAUUCUUUAUAUUUAUAGGCCUAUUAGUUGAGAAACAAAAUAGAGUAAAUAGUUUGUUGAUUUUUCUGGGGAAAAAAAAGUGAUCUUUAAAAGUUUAUAUUUAUCUAUAUAAUAAUUUCUGGCACUAAAAAAAGUGAAGUAUCAUCUCUUUAGUUUGAUGACUUUUUUUCUCUCUUUCUAUUUAACUUAUUUUAUAAAAAUAAUUGUGUCAAUAACUUUAAUCCUAAUUGUCUUUUCAUUAAAUUUUCAUUUUUAAUGAUAAUGUUCAUUAUUUGUGCAUUGAUGUACAAAUAUUUCUCCUAUUAUGUUACAAACAAGUUCAAAGUCACAUUCUUAACCUCUUAAUUACUAUGACUUUUCAUUCUCAGGAAUUUAUUGUAUAUUAAAUGUAGUAUUAAUCUAAAAUGGGAAAAAUACUCUUUAAUGUUUUUGUGUAUAAGCCAAGCAAAACUAGAAGAAAUAGAAAUUUGUACGUGCCAUUUAAAACAAAAAUCUUUUUUUUUUUUGCGUCGCUAAUUCUCUUUUUUUUUUAUGUUUAUUUUUAAAUUUAUUUAUUUUCUUACCUUCUUUCGUUUUCCAAUUUUAAUAAUUUUUAUUUUUAUUUUUCAGUGAUCUUGACUUGACAAUUAUUUACGUUGGUGAAUAUAAGAAAAUUAGAAAGUAAUUAAUAGUGAUGAAGUUAACAAAGAGGAGGAAUCAGCAGGUAAUAAAAAACUAUUUGUGUGAAAAUUAAGUAACUGAAAUCAGUAUACACCUUAUAGAUGACUUGAAAUAACAAUUGUCACAAAAUAUAGGUAUAUUUAAUUGAUCUUUUUUCUAUUUCUUCUUAUUUCCCUCUUUUAAAUUUUAUUUUAUUUAGAAAAAUGAAAACAUGUAAAUUUUAUGCAGUAUAAAUUUUGAGAAAGUAUACAAAAAAUAUAAUUAAUAAAAGGACUUCCAGAAGAAGAAGAAUAUAGCGAUUACAUCUCAAGUUUACAUAUUAUCGAAAAAUCAUACUAAAAAUGUAAUUAAAAGAAUGGUUACAAAGAAGCAAAAAAAAAAACUAAUCACAUUUUUACAUAAAUAUAGAGAAAUUAUAUUAAAAAAAUAAUUAAGAAAAAGGAUCUUAUUUUUUUAAAAAAAAAAAAUAGGAGAAAAAAAUCACAUCUCAAGUUUACAUUCCAUAAUCUUAACAUUACCAUCUAUUUUUUUUUAGUAAAUUUAUUUUUAAUAUUUAACUUUUGUAAGUUCACAUAUAUUGAUUUCUUAUAUAACUUUAAUAUUUAACAAAAAUAUUUUUCAUAGCUUCUCUUUUAUGAAAUUGUGUGCUUAAUAAAAAACAGUUCCCUUUUAUUAAAGGUAGUAACCAAUGGUAUUAGAAUGUAACUUGCAGUUCUUUUCUUAAUCACGCUAAGCGCGGCCAAGUACUAGUUCAUAGAAUAAAGUUCAAUCUAAUCUCUUUCACACUUAGUGACCUUUCGUUUCUUAUCUUUUACUCCAUGUCCUUAAUUAUUUGUCCACUUUUAAUUAUCUUGUCCACAUUAUUCUUUUUUUCCACUAGCUAAAUAAAGUCAUGAGCAAAGAAGCACUAUAAAUAGACAGUUGUUUCAAAGCAGAAAAAUUCAUCAAAUACACUUUCCAAAUACAUCAUCAGUUCUUGUAUUUGCAGCCAUGGGAUUCUUGAAAAUCCUUCUUGUUUUCAUCUUUUGUUCUUUCCCAUGGCCUACUAUUCAGAGUGAUCUCGAGACUUAUAUAGUCCAUGUUGAAUCCCCUGAAAGCCUAGUUACUACUCAAUCAUCGUUAACGGAAUUAGAGAGCUAUUACCUUUCUUUUUUGCCUAAAAUUACUACCGCAAUUAGCUCGAGUGGAAAUGAAGAGGCUGCUAGCAUGAUCUAUUCCUAUCACAAUGUGAUGAAAGGCUUUGCAGCAAGAUUAACUGCAGAACAAGUGAAGGAAAUGGAGAAAAAACACGGCUUUGUCUCUGCUCAGAAACAGAGGAUUUUGUCCUUGGAUACUACUCAUACUCCAAGUUUUCUUGGUUUGCAGCAGAACAUGGGUGUAUGGAAAGAUUCCAACUAUGGGAAAGGCGUGAUCAUCGGAGUUCUAGACACUGGAAUUAUUCCUGACCAUCCUUCUUUUAGCGACGUUGGGAUGCCUCCCCCGCCUGCUAAGUGGAAAGGAGUUUGUGAGUCCAAUUUCAUCAACAAGUGUAACAACAAGCUCAUUGGAGCAAGGUCUUACAAACGUGGCAAUGGUUCCCCGAUAGAUGGUAAUGGACAUGGUACACACACAGCAAGCACAGCUGCGGGAGCCUUUGUGAAAGGUGCUAAUGUAUAUGGCAAUGCUAAUGGCACUGCAGUUGGUAUUGCUCCUCUUGCCCAUAUAGCCAUAUAUAAGGUAUGUAAUUCCAAUGGCAAGUGUCCUGACAGUGAUAUUUGAUAAGAGCUUAUGCCUUUUGGUGUUUUGAUGAUCUCCUCACAAGUGCAGGGACCUGGUCCUCUGCAGAGUAUGAAUACUCGUCCAGCUGUCAAAGUGCGGUACAACUGUAAAAGCUGUCUGCGUCAGAAGCUGCAGAGUACUUCACCAAUCAGAAGCAAGGAGGUUGCUUGUACGUUUGGUAAUAACUUUUUAUGGUAUAUACUAAACAAAAUACAACAAUAUUACUCAUUCAUUUUUAAAGGGAGAAAUAUUUCAAGCUUCAAGAACAGCAAGGGAUCUAAUCGAUUACUUCAAGAGCUUCAAGAACAACAAGGGAUCUGAUCGAUCACUUCAAAAGCUUCUUGUACCAGCUGUUACUUUGUUUGCUUGUAAUAGUGCUUACAUUGUAGGAUUCGUUUUGUGAAAGAAACGUUUCAAAUUUGUGUGAAUCAUUGUAAGAACUAGGUUAAGGGUAACUUAGGGUCUUACUCUAAAGUCUAUAUUAAUCGGUCGGGAUUAGUAUAGUGGGCGGUGUUGUAUCUGCUCUGGCUCAUCUAAGUAAUAGGAUGUAUUGCUUAGAGUUGGGAUUAGUAGGUUAAUCUCGGUUUGUAAACUUUCUUUUACUUUUGCUUGGAGAAGAUUAGUGAAAGAAGUUUGAAAAGUCCUGGCAGGCCAGGUCGUGGUUUUACUCCCUUGAGCAAGGAGGUUUCCACGUAAAGUUGUUGUGCAAUCUUUACUUUCAGCACUUUGUUUAUUUCUGUUAUUGUAACUGUGCUGAGGACCUGGUCCCAUAGAAAACGUGGACGCAUACAUUCCAACAAUAUUUUAGCUGCCAUGGAUUCAGCUAUAGAUGAUGGAGUAGAUAUUCUUUCAAUCUCCCUUGGUGGAUCUCCGAGCCCUUUUUAUAAUGACAGUACUGCUAUCGGGGCGUACAGUGCAACAGAAAGAGGCAUUUUUGUUAGUUGCUCAGCAGGCAAUGAUGGUCCAUUAAAUGGCUCAGUAGAUAACUCUGCCCCGUGGAUUCUUACUGUAGGUGCCAGCACACUUGAUAGAAAGAUAAAAGCUACUGUCAAGCUUGGAAAUGGACAGGAAUUUGAAGGAGAAUCUGCUUAUCGUCCACAGAUUUCCAACUCAACAUUCUUCACUCUAUUUGAUGCUGCAAAAUAUGCAAAAGAUCAAUCGGAAACCCCUUAUUGCAAACCAGGGUCACUCAAUGACCCUGCUAUAAGAGGAAAGAUAGUAUUAUGUCUAGCAGGCGGUGGCGUCCCCAGGGUUAAAGGACAAGUUGUGAAGGAUGCUGGAGGUGUUGGCAUGAUUAUCAUCAACCGGCGAAGCUCCGGUGUCACUAAAUCAGCUGAUGCUCAUGUUCUUCCAGCAAUGGAUGUUUCAGCUGCAGAUGGAACGAAAAUUCGUGCCUAUAUGAACUCAACAUCGAACCCUGUUGCUACAAUCACGUUCCAAGGAACGAUAAGUUGGGGAAUAAAAUGCUCCUGCAGUUGCUUCAUUUUCUUCUCGCGGACCAAGUAGAGCUAGUCCUGGAAUCUUGAAACCUGACAUAAUCGGUCCUGGUGUUAAUAUCCUUGCUGCUUGGCCCAUCUCUGUGGAUGACAACAGAAACACCAAAUCCAGAUUCAAUAUUAUAUCAGGCACCUCAAUGUCUUGCCCUCACCUUAGUGGCGUAGCAGCUCUGCUGAAGAGCUCACAUCCUGAUUGGUCUCCUGCUGUUAUUAAGUCUGCAAUCAUGACAACCGCUGACACGUUAAACCUUGCCAAUAGUCCAAUACUAGACGAAAGGCUCCUUUCUGCUGACAUCUAUGCAAUCGGUGCAGGACAUGUUAAUCCAUCUAGGGCAAAUGAUCCAGGACUAGUUUAUGAUACCCCAUUUGAGGACUAUGUACCUUAUUUCUGU